AUGAAAGCAGUGGUCUGGUUCCUAUAUGAGCAGUCUUCUCGUAACUAUCAGGGAUAUAAAUCCAUUGUUUUUGGGUGAACCUAUGUUCUUUUUUUGUGACCUAAGGUUCAGUAAAUAAUGUAACAUUU